UGUGCAGGAUUAGUCCUGCUCACGUCUCAUGAAUCACCCUGUAUAUAUGAUGAUUUCGGGGUCGUGGAGCAAGAGAGCCAGACAUCAUACAGAAUCCAAAGAUGAGCCUAAUGAUGUUGGUAAUUAUUGUUUAUCACCAAUAAUGAUGAUUAUUUUUCAGAUGACAAGUAGGAAAAAAACAUUUUUGCAUACAAUUUGGUGACCCUACUCGAUGUGACGUCUUGUCGCUUUCCAUACAGCGUAUGUCAAAAGUCAUAGGGUGACCAUAAUUACUUAGUAUAACAUUAAUUUUACUUGAAAA